rnacentral:piRNA from 1 species
AUUUUUAACGAUGGUUCUUAAGCACUUUAAC